rnacentral:tRNA from 1 species
GGCUCUGUGGCGCAAUGGAUAGCGCGUUGGACUUCUAGACAAUGAUCAGGCAAGUAAUUCAAAGGUUGAGGGUUCGAGUCCCUCCAGAGUCG